rnacentral:tRNA from 1 species
GGCUUGUUGGUCUAGGAGUAGAAUUCUCGUUUUGGGUGCGAGAGGUCCCAGGUUCAAAUCCCAGACAAGCCC